rnacentral:rRNA from 1 species
UGGGGAAUUGUUCGCAAUGGGCGAAAGCCUGACGACGCAACGCCGCGUGGAGGAUGAAGAUUUUCGGAUCGUAAACUCCUGUCGAAUGGGACGAACGGCCCGGCCGUGAACAGCGGCCGGGAGUGACGGUACCGUGAGAGGAAGCCCCGGCUAACUCCGUGCCAGCAGCCGCGGUAAUACGGGGGGGGCAAGCGUUGUUCGGAAUUACUGGGCGUAAAGGGCUCGUAGGUGGCCGCCUCAGUCCGACGUGAAAUCCCUCGGCUCAACCGGGGAACUGCGUCGGAUACUGGGUGGCUCGAAUCCGGGAGAGGGACGUGGAAUUCCAGGUGUAGCGGUGAAAUGCGUAGAUAUCUGGAGGAACACCGGUGGCGAAGGCGGCGUCCUGGACCGGCAUUGACACUGAGGAGCGAAAGCCAGGGGAGCAAACGGG